rnacentral:rRNA from 1 species
UAAACUAGGAUUAGAUACCCUAUUAUUAGAAAUAAUACAUUGUUAGUAAAUAAUAUUUAUGAAAACAAAAAAUCAUGGCGGUAUCUUAAGCUUUUCAGAGGAAUUUGCUCUUUAAUGGAUAAAACACCCAAAUCUUACUAAAAUUGGUUAAGACAGUUUGUAUACCACUAUUUAAGUAAUUAUUAAUUAUAAUUGCUGUAAAUUUUAAACAAAAAAAAAGUUAAGUCAAGGUGCAGCAUAAAUUUUAGGAUGAAGUGAAUUACAAUGCUUUUUAGAAAAGCGAUUUAAAAAAAAAAAUUAGGAUUUGAAAGUAAAAAUUUUAAUAGAAUGAUUAUUUGAAUUAAGCUCUGAGAUAUGUACAUAUCGCCC